GAUGAACGCUGGCGGCGUGCCUAAUACAUGCAAGUCGAGCGGUAACAGGCUCUCACAGUUUGCUUAAGUUCUGCAACCUUCGGGAUGUAGAUGAUGAAUGUAUGCCAUAUGACUAGGCUAGUCAUAUACAUGCAGGAGUUAUAUUAAGCGAAGUGUGAGAGUGCUGACGAGCGGCGGACGGCUGAGUAACACGAGGAACGUACCCCAAAGUGAGGGAUAAGCACCAGAAAUGGUGUCUAAUACCGCAUGUGAUCUUCGGAUUAAAGCUUCGGCGCUUUGGGAACGGCCUGCGUAUGAUUAGUUUGUUGGUGAGGUAAUGGCUCACCAAGACUACGAUCAUUAGCUGGUCUGAGAGGAUGAUCAGCCAGACUGGGACUGAGACACGGCCCAGA
rnacentral:rRNA from 1 species